rnacentral:tRNA from 1 species
UGGCUCAGUGGUAGAGCGCUUGCCUUGCGUGUAGGAGGCCCUGGGUUCGAUUCCUCAG